rnacentral:lncRNA from 10 species
AGACACCGAGGCCAACGCCACCACCAGGAAAAAAAGUCCUUGGGAAUUGAGAAGCCAAUGAGAUUAGUCGUUCAAGCUGAAGUCAUUCUAUCUGCUAGCUGUCUGGAGCCACUGAAGCUGUGGGCGAACAGCAACAAGUUUAAGCUACAUCUGCACACUCUGCGGUCCAUCCAGAGACCAAGAAAGAAGCACAAGGAUCCUGCAGAGUCUUCCGAAGCCCAAGCCAAAUAUAUGAGGCAGGGAGCUAGAGAAUGUGGAGGAAGUGGUCAGUAGGAAAAGGAAUGGGAACAGACAUUCUCCUUCAGAAACUUGAGGUCCAGUCCCUGAACUUUAGCUGGCCCCAAAACUUGAGCAAGCUCUAAAAAGCAGAACAUCUCCCACUUAACAGUUUAUUCUGAGAACUGGCCAACCACAGGAGGGAAAAUCAUAUCUCCAGUUAAAGUGCCCUGAUCAUGCCAUCUGCUCAUCCUACCCCCUUUGCCCUGCUCCCACACAAAGUUCCUGCUAGCCCUGUUUACGUCUUCUUUUUUAAACUCUUUUUUUAAAAUUUGAUUUUUAGACAUUUGAAGAUUUCCAUGGUCAGAGGGUCUGUAAUAGUCUUUUUUGAAUAAAGCUGCUCCUUACCUAAAUCCAGAUUUGUUUUCAUUGAAUAUAAUAAUAAAUGACCAUAUUACUUUCACCUAGAUUUAUCAAUUUUGCUACAUUUGUACACUUUCUUUUUCAUAUUUAUCUAUUACUAUAUUAUGUAAUACAUUAUAUAUGCACAUACAUUAUUCAAAAAUAGUUAUCUCUUCC